GGCGUGCUUAACACAUGCAAGUCGAACGAACCUUCUGGAUUUGAUUCUUCGGAUGAAGAUCCUUGUGACUGAGUGGCGGACGGGUGAGUAACGCGUGGGUAACCUUCCUCAUACAGGGGGAUAACAGUUAGAAAUGACUGCUAAUACCGCAUAAGACCACAAAGCCGCAUGGCUUAGUGGGAAAAACUCCGGUGGUAUGAGAUGGACCCGCGUCUGAUUAGGUAGUUGGUGGGGUAACGGCCUACCAAGCCGACGAUCAGUAGCCGACCUGAGAGGGUGACCGGCCACAUUGGGACUGAGACACGGCCCAAACUCCUACGGGAGGCAGCAGUGGGGAAUAUUGCACAAUGGGGGAAACCCUGAUGCAGCGACGCCGCGUGAGCGAAGAAGUAUUUCGGUAUGUAAAGCUCUAUCAGCAGGGAAGAAAAUGACGGUACCUGACUAAGAAGCACCGGCUAAAUACGUGCCAGCAGCCGCGGUAAUAAGUAUGGUGCAAGCGUUAUCCGGAUUUACUGGGUGUAAAGGGAGCGUAGACGGCUGUGUAAGUCUGAAGUGAAAGCCCGGGGCUCAACCCCGGGACUGCUUUGGAAACUAUGCAGCUAGAGUGUCGGAGAGGUAAGUGGAAUUCCCAGUGUAGCGGUGAAAUGCGUAGAUAUUGGGAGAAACACCAGUGGCGAAGGCGGCUUACUGGACGAUGACUGACGUUGAGGCUCGAAAGCGUGGGGAGCAAACAGGAUUAGAUACCCUGGUAGUCCACGCCGUAAACGAUGACUACUAGGUGUCGGGGAGCAAAGCUCUUCGGUGCCGCAGCAAACGCAAUAAGUAGUCCACCUGGGGAGUACGUUCGCAAGAAUGAAACUCAAAGGAAUUGACGGGGACCCGCACAAGCGGUGGAGCAUGUGGUUUAAUUCGAAGCAACGCGAAGAACCUUACCUGCUCUUGACAUCCCGGUGACCGGCAUGUAAUGAUGCCUUUUCUUCGGAACACCGGUGACAGGUGGUGCAUGGUUGUCGUCAGCUCGUGUCGUGAGAUGUUGGGUUAAGUCCCGCAACGAGCGCAACCCUUAUCUUCAGUAGCCAGCAUUUCGGAUGGGCACUCUGGAGAGACUGCCAGGGAUAACCUGGAGGAAGGUGGGGAUGACGUCAAAUCAUCAUGCCCCUUAUGAGCAGGGCUACACACGUGCUACAAUGGCGUAAACAAAGGGAAGCAAACCUGUGAGGGUAAGCAAAUCUCAAAAAUAACGUCUCAGUUCGGAUUGUAGUCUGCAACUCGACUACAUGAAGCUGGAAUCGCUAGUAAUCGCGAAUCAGCAUGUCGCGGUGAAUACGUUCCCGGGUCU
rnacentral:rRNA from 1 species